rnacentral:rRNA from 1 species
GACGAACGCUGGCGGCGUGCUUAACACAUGCAAGUCGAACGGAAAGGCCCUGCUUUUGUGGGGUGCUCGAGUGGCGAACGGGUGAGUAACACGUGAGUAACCUGCCCUUGACUUUGGGAUAACUUCAGGAAACUGGGGCUAAUACCGGAUAGGAGCUCCUGCUGCAUGGUGGGGGUUGGAAAGUUUCGGCGGUUGGGGAUGGACUGGCGGCUUAUCAGCUGGUUGGUUGGGUAGUGGCUUACCAAGGCUUCGACGGGUAGCCGGCCUGAGAGGGUGACCGGCCACAUUGGGACUGCGAUACGGCCCAGAGUGCUACGGGAGGCAGCAGUGGGGAAUAUUGCACAAUGGGCGGAAGUCUGAUGCAGCAACGCCGCGUGCGGGAUGACGGCCUUCGGGUUGUAAACCGCUUUCGCCUGUGACGAAGCGUGAGUGACGGUAAUGGGUAAAGAAGCACCGGCUAACUACGUG